CAAUAGGGAAAUCAAAUAAAAGGAACCGCGUUUUAUUCGUUCCAUAUCUCUCACCCGUUCACACUUUUCUCCAUUCUUUUGUUGCGAAGGCACACACCCUACACUUCAGAAUGGCUACUCUUUUUCCACCAUCACCAAGCUCCUGAGACGGAAGUUCAGAAAACAAAGCACGAACUUCUUCGUGCCGCUUGCACCGUUUUCGCCCAUGAAAUUUGAAACGGAUUGUUGUAUUCCAACUAGAUGUGAUUGCUGAGUUGAUAAAGGUGGUGCAAUGGAGCUAUGUAGGGAAAGCAAGAGUUGCUCUGAAUCUGAAAGAUAUCCAGUAAACUUAAACUUGUGUUUUUAUUUUAUUUUAUUUCAUUUCAUUGAUUAAUGUGUUACAUUUAUUUAAGUGUUUAUUCCUAAUAUUCCAGUGGGGAUAUGGUCUUGUGUACUUUGUGGGAAAGUUAUACUCAACAAUUAAGGGACUUUUUGGACAAGCGUGAAUUUGGUCCAGUUAUUUUGCUACUAACAUUGGCAAAGAUCAAACAUCCUGAAGGUCUAAUUACUUUUACUUAAAUAUUGAACCCUGUAAUUCUAACAAUUUCUGGUGUCAUAGACUGAUUCAAUGACUUUUUGUUGAGGUUUUUAGGUGCCUUUAAGAUUUCAACUAAAAAUACCUAGUAUGAAUCAAAGCUUUUCAUAAAUGAAAAUCUAGCUGAGAUUCAGGAAUUCAUAAAAAGGUAUUGUGUUUGUACUAUUAAAAAAUCAAAUUGAUAUGUAAAUAAAAAGGUAUUCUAUUUGUAAGUAACAUUUUUGAAUUUGUUUAUAAGAUAUAGUUUAUUUUAUUAUGUACAUUGUGUUUAUUGUGCCAUAUUUUAUGUAUACUCUAAUGGUUUUUAUAAUUAAAUAAAAAAGAAAGUACUGUGUGUUGGAUGUAUAUAAUGACCUAAUUUUUUUCAUUGAGAUUUCAAUUUAGAAUUAAGUGAGGGUGGAACUGUGUCCUAUACUCAAAAGAUGACACAAUCAUCAUCUACUUCAACUCAGUGCAGAAGAAAAGCUUUUGAACAAUGUGAAUGUGUUGAGCUUAAAUGAAAUUUGUCAUGUCAAGCAGGUAUAGUGGAAUAUAUGUCCUGAUAUCUUAUCUAAAUGUAAAUUAUGAUUUAUUAGACUAAAAUUACUUUACAGGAUUUUGUUUGUUUGAUUGUGGCUGAGAUUAUGAAAGUGUGUGUUGCUAAUGGUUGGAGCUAUGAAGCUUGUCCAAUUUGUAAAAGAAAGAAUGAUGAGUCUGUUAAAAGUUGUAUAGAAUGUCAUUCUGAGAUUAAUUUAACUGCUCCAUGGUAUGUCUUGUAGAGGGUUAAUCAAAUGAUGAUUUCAUAUAAUCAUAUAUGUAAUGACCUGAACUUUGUUCUGUCCAGCUUUAGAAUUGAUGUUAAAGUAGCAUACCACAAAUAGAAUGCUAUCUUUAUUUUAUGGGACCAAGAAGCUUUCAAAUUGAUUAAUGAAUCAGCUGCUGAUAUUAAAAGGAAGAUGAUUGAAGAGGUGUGAGUUAGUUUUGGGGGUUUUUAUAUGCAUUUCAAUAUAAAUCUUCAUAAUAAUGUCUUUGUUUAUAUAUAUAUAUAUGAGGGUGAGUUUGAUCCCAGGUGCAUUCCUGAAGCACUUGAUAGGCUUGAACACCAGAAGCUUGCCUUCAAAAUCAAAAGUAGUAAGAGAUAAAACUUGUUCUUCUAUUCUUGUUCUUGCCAAAAUUCAUGUUCCUAAGGUAUACUUGGAGUAUUUUCAUAUCAUGGUCAACACUUAACAUUGUAUUAAUUUAAUAAUUGUAUUGGUUGUAGAAUAUGGAGGAAUCAUUGUAGACAGAUAUCAAAGGAAAGACAAUGUCUUUUGUAGGAAGGUUGGAUGAUGUAGCAAAUAGUGUAAGUUCCAAUGAGUUUAUAAUAAAAUGUUUUAUAUUGGUUUGUUUAAAUUAGAAAUAUCAGUCUAUAAAGUUUCCCUAUUCAUUGGAUUGUUAAAAAUUUUCAGCAAGCAAUGUCAGUUCCAAUGAGUUUAUAAUAAAAUGUCUUAUAUUGGUUUGUUUAAAUUAGAAAUAUCAGUCUAUAAAGUUUCCCUAUUCAUUGGUUUGUUAAAAAUUUUCAACAAGCAAUGUCAGGCAUGACAGAUUAUGAUCCUGAGUUGCUUCUUUUUCAAACUCCUUUUAAAAGAGUCUUACUUGGUGAUUCUCAAUUUGGUGAUCUUGUUGUUGAUGACUUUAGCCUAGCCAGGUGCAAUUAUCUUCUUCAAAGCCCGUAAAGCAUGUAAAAUCUGAAUGAAGAAGUAUUUUUUUUUAUAAACAAAAAAUAUAAUAUUAAGAAAAGGGAAUUCAAAGGGUACUCCAAUCUAUAUACAAAAUUAAGACAACUGUUUAAUACACAUCAAUGACUCAUUUAUUUUUCAUAGGAAAUUUGAAUAAAGAAGUUGUAUUGGGUGUUUAGGGUUAAAUGAAACUUUUUGUAAUUUUAGUUGACUUGUGUAUUUGUUGGUGAGAAUUAAAUGUUUUUAAUCUUAUCGAUGAACAAAACUUUAUCUUUCUCAAAAGUAAAGAAAUGUAGUCAGGCCUUGAAGUUGACUUUUUUUGUUAACCUUGACUCUAUAUAAAAAAUUCUAUAUAUCAGUUGGCUUUAAUUACAUUUUCUUACAAGGAUUGAUCAUUAGUUGCUCUACAUAUUAAGUCGAAGAAUAAUAUUCAUAAAAGAAAAAUCAAGUCGAGAAUAAUAUUUUUCAUAUAUAGGUAUUGUCCACAAUUAUAGAAUUUAGGAUUAAUAUUAGUAUAACAUAAAUCUCAACACUUUUAAGCUAUUUUAGUAAAAGAAAGACAACGUGAGUCGAAAUGUAUUAUUAUUAUAAUAAUAAUAAUUUUAAUUAUUAUUAUUAUCAUCAUUAUCUUAAAAAAAUAUAAAACUUAUAAAUUUAUAAUCAAAAUAGUAAGUAAAAUAGAGAAUUAUCUAAUAAACAAAGAGAUUGAUUGAAUUACAAUAAUGAGAACCGUGUGAGGGGAAGCAAGGAUGGAUGCUUGAUUCUCGCCUAAAUUGAAUUUAAGUAAAAGAAUAAAGUAAUUUCAAAUAAAUUUAACAAGUGUUUGAGUAUAAAAACUAAAUUGAUCCAAUUUAAAAAAAAAAAUUCAUAUUUUAAAAAAAUUAAACUAAUUCACUUUAUAAAAAACAGAUCAGUUAACCAAAUCAUUUUUAUAAAAUAAAUUAGUUCAAUUCGGUUUGGAUUAUUCAAAAUUUCGAUGCAUGAACAGUCCUAUAUACAUUGUAAUAUUAAUAUACACAAUUACUUUUAUAUUUUACUAACAUUUUAUGUUUCUGUUUUUCUUUCCUCCAGAGCAAUCCACUUUAGAUGUUCAGGUUUUUCACUUACGCUUUUUGUGUGUGUAUAUAUGCAUCUCAAAACACUACUAAAAGCUAAUGUUGAUAUAUAAGGAAAGGAAAUGAUCUUUGAAAUUGCUUUCAAAGUAAGACUGUAAAAUUUUAAUUAUCACCUAAUCACAACUAUCAUAAUAGGCUACUUACUGAUGUGAUGUGUCCACUAAAUGCUCAACAUAUCAUUAUUUUAUUUGUUAGCUACAGUAAGUACUUGAUAGCUUUUACUUUUUUUCACCUCCCUUUACAAGUGCACCAAUUACAAUACCAAAGUUGAAAGUAUAUGUUGAUGAGAGAUUGCUUAAUCAAUGUGAAUGAAGUUCCAUUUUUGUCUAAUGAAAAACAUGCACAUACAUUUUCUGCUUUGAAAAAGGAAAGGACCUAAUUCACAAGGUGAACGAAUACAUAGAUGAAGGCUUAGAAGCCUCAAAUUGUAUUGAAGAGUAUCAUUGUUAUAUUUGUAUGCUACAUUUAUUAUGCAAAACAGAGUGAUCAACACACAUGGUAAAGUUGAAUCUUUCAUUUUGUUUUUUGAACUUUCAUUUCUGAUUGAAUAUGGAGUAGACUAAUGAAAAGCAUGCACAUAUAUUUUUCUGUUUUGAAAAAGGAAAUGAAUCGUUGAUAUAUUCACAUAUGUCUUUUAUAUGGUAAAGCAAAUUAAAAAGUUUUCUUGACACACUAAGUCUUAAUAUUUCAUUUUGUUUUUUGAAAUGUUGUCUCAAAACUCAACUUAUUAAUUUCUGAAGGCUUCAAUUGUUUCUUUCUAGUUACUAUUGUAGGUAGCACCAUUUUGUGAUUGUACUUAGUCAUAGGUAUGGAACAAACAAGAAACAAAAUCAUGAAAGGAGCACUCUUAAAAUGUAAAUUAAUAUUAAAAAAAAAAACGUGUGGAUUCCUUUAACAUGCUUUAAUUACAUUCUCUUAUAAGGAUUGAUCAUUACUUGAUCUAAAUAAUUAUUCUAUUUAGUAAUUGUAAUGUUAUACUUACAAUUAUAUAAUGUUCUUUCUAAUAUCACGUAUUAUAUAAUGCUCUUCUUGAGGUACUGAUAUAUUUACAAUAAAAAAGAUUAUUGUUGAACCAUUUUUUCUUCUUUUAACAUGCACUUUCAUGUUAUACUUACCUUUUUAUGAAAAAUAAAUUUAAUUCUAUCUUCUCUACAAAAAGAGGUCUAAGUUAUGGAUGCACUAAAUCUUAAUAUUUUAUUUUUUUUCUCUGAAAUGUUUGCUUCAAAAUUCAACUUAUUAAUUUCUGAAGGUUUCAAUUGUUUCUUGCUGGUUGCUAUCGUAGGUAGUCCCAUUUUGUGAUUGCACUUAGUCAUAGGUAUGGAACAAGCAAGAAACUAAAUUAUGAAAAAUCCUAAACCCUAAACUAAAUUACGAAAAAAAACACACACUUAAAAUGUAAAUUAAUAUUACAAUAAAAAAAUAUGUGAAUCAAUGGGGAGGUCAAAAGAAAAUGAUCCACUAAUGUUAGAGAACACCAAUGUAUCACUUAUUUCUUCUUAUUCUUUAAAGUUAAUUUUCAGUUUUUUAACUUAGUUAUUGAAAAAAAGUAUUCAAUAGGGUCUUCAACUAGUGUGCAAAUCAAAAUUUCUUCAAAUGGUAAAACUCGCAUAAAAAAUGACACUCAUUUAUUUGAUAUAUCUUUUGUUGUGGAUAAUGAGACUGAUUUUCACAUCCUAAGGACAAGUUCCUAAAUAAUACUCGGUCAAGCAUGACUCAAAUGCAAAGUUAUAGUCGGAUAACUAUCAAUGAUUUGAGUUCUUUACAUGUCAAUUUAAUUAAUAAAUUUGGUGAAAUAUCCACAAGGAACAAUUUGGAUCCUGGAACAAAUUGAGUAGGUGAAAAUCAAAGCAUAAAUCAUACAUUCAAAGCAGGAAGAUAUGUUAUAAGAAAUAGACAAGCAUAAAUCAUACAUUCAAAGCAGGAAGAUAUGUUAUAAGAAAUAGACAAAUUCAAAAAAUACAAGGACAACAACAACAUUUGAGCUUGCAUGAUGAAAAUGAAGAUUAUCAGUCAUGACUAUGAUCAGACCAUGAUCAAGAUGAUAUAAUGGAAAACGACAAUAUACAAUCAAUUGUGCGAAGUACGUACUAUAGGUAUUUAAAGUAGUAUUUUUUGGAGCACAUUUAUAAAGUCACCUAUUAUUAGGAUGAACACAAAAUGCAUCAUGACAUUAACUUCUGAAGUUCUACAUAUGGCAAUUACUUUUGAAUCCUCCACCUAAGAAAAAAAAGCAAAGGCAAGAUCAUAGCAAUAGCUUCCCUGAUCUAACUUUCAAUAAUGGCCACCUAAAAUACAAUGUAACACAUGAAAAAAAGUUAAUGAAGCUUUUGUUAUGAUAUUUUUGACCAGCUACAAGAUAACACAACCACAAGAUAUUACAACAGUAGGAAAGUUCAGACUAAUGUACUCAAGUUAAAAGUCUGCCAUCCCACUCUUGGAAAAGGGCCCACAUACAAAUUUUAAUCUUUGAGACUCAUUUGAAGGGUGAUCUUUGUUACUCCUUGUUGGUAUUCAAAGUGACCCUUACAGUUCCUGGCAUGCGAACUGAGCUGGCAUCAAAAUUAUGUUGGUGGUGUGGGGUUUCCUUGAAUACGCGUCUGCAACGAAUCUAAUGGUUAGUUUGAACAAUACAAAGUUGUUUGUUUUUGUUCUAACGUGCCGACAAGUUCUUGGGUUAAGAAAAGUAGUAGUUUUGUGUUCUUAGCCGUUUCUAUUCCCUUCCAUAUCUGCUUACUCUAUCUAUAUUCCCAUGAGAUAAGAACGCAUCAUAAAAAAAUUGAGUUGGUGGCUCUCAUGUUCUACUCAAUUAACUUCUCUAGGAUUCUAACCAUGAUUCCCUACUUCCUCAUUCUCCACUUCAUUUGGGAAGAUCAAAUCAAAUAUUAAUUUAACUUCUAACCUUAUAAUCACUUAUAUAAUUAAUGUCCAACUGCUUGAUCAGGGUGUUUAAUUUUAUCCCGUGUGGUCCAAAGGCUAUGUAUCGGAUGCAAUGCAUGUUAAGCAGGUUCAACUUUUCUAUGCCUAGAAAUAAGGAAGAGUUUAGCUUUACAUUUUAUAAGGGAAGUUGUGGCAAUAGUGAUUGGUGUGUUAGGGUUUGACACCAAUGCUCAAGGGUAGAGUGGAAUGUCAAAUCAUCAUCUAAGUAGAUAAGAGUAUAGUAAAUGUGGUGUUGAUGCUGAGAAAAGAGUGAGUCCAAUGCCACAAAAACGAGAGUUAGUGAGAUCUUUAUGAGUUUUGAGGCUCUAUCUUAUCUUCAUGGUACCAUGUUCUUUAUGACAAGUCAUAA